GAUGAACGCUGGCGGCGUGCCUAAUAAAUGCAGGUGGGCGGACAGAAAAGGAGGUUGUUCCUUUUACGUUUGGCGCGGACCGGGGGGUUAAACGAUGGUUAACUACCUAUUAGACCGGGAUAACUCCCGGAAACCGGGGCUAAUUGCGGACAACAAUUAGAAACGGAUGGUUUCAAAGUGAAAGAAGGUUUUGCUUAUCACUAUAGGAGGACCCGGGCCGGAUUAGCUAGUUGGUAAGGUAACGGCUUACCAAGGCAACGAUACGUAGCCGACCUGAGAGGGUGAUCGGCCACACUGGAACUGAGACACGGUCCAGACUCCUACGGGAGGCAGCAGUAGGGAAUCUUCCACAAUGGGCGAAAGCCUGACGGAGCAACGCCGCGUGAGUGAUGAAGGUCUUCGGAUCGUAAAACUCUGUUAUUAGGGAAGAACAAAUGUGUAAGUAACUGUGCACGUCUUGACGGUACCUAAUCAGAAAGCCACGGCUAACUACGUG
rnacentral:rRNA from 1 species